GAUGAACGCUAGCUACAGGCUUAACACAUGCAAGUCGAGGGGCAGCACUAGGUAGCAAUACUGAGGUGGCGACCGGCGCACGGGUGCGUAACGCGUAUCCAACCUUCCCGUUACUCUUGGAUAGCCUUCCGAAAGGGAGAUUAAUACAAGAUGGUAUUCAAAUUCCGCAUGUUAUUUGAAUUAAAGAUUUAUCGGUAACGGAUGGGGAUGCGUGACAUUAGCUAGAUGGCGGGGUAACGGCCCACCAUGGCGACGAUGUCUAGGGGUUCUGAGAGGAAGGUCCCCCACACUGGAACUGAGACACGGUCCAGACUCCUACGGGAGGCAGCAGUGAGGAAUAUUGGUCAAUGGUCGGAAGACUGAACCAGCCAUGCCGCGUGAAGGUCACGGCCCUAUGGGUCUUAAACUUCUUUUGUUAGGGAGCAAUAAGGCGUACGUGUACGUCGAUGAGAGUACCUAACGAAUAAGCAUCGGCUAACUCCGUG
rnacentral:rRNA from 1 species